rnacentral:rRNA from 1 species
GACGAACGCUGGCGGCGUGCCUAAUACAUGCAAGUAGAACGCUGAAGGAGGAGCUUGCUUCUCUGGAUGAGUUGCGAACGGGUGAGUAACGCGUAGGUAACCUGCCUGGUAGCGGGGGAUAACUAUUGGAAACGAUAGCUAAUACCGCAUAAUAGUAGAUGUUGCAUGACAUUUGCUUAAAAGGUGCAAUUGCAUCACUACCAGAUGGACCUGCGUUGUAUUAGCUAGUUGGUGGGGUAACGGCUCACCAAGGCGACGAUACAUAGCCGACCUGAGAGGGUGGUCGGCCACACUGGGACUGCGGCACGGCCCAGACUCCUACGGGAGGCAGCAGUAGGGAAUCUUCGGCAAUGGACGGAAGUCUGACCGAGCAACGCCGCGUGAGUGAAGAAGGUUUUCGGAUCGUAAAGCUCUGUUGUAAGAGAAGAACGAGUGUGAGAGUGGAAAGUUCACACUGUGACGGUAUCUUACCAGAAAGGGACGGCUAACUACGUG